rnacentral:rRNA from 1 species
GUGAUGUGGAGCAAAACACAAAAAGACAGUCUCAGUUCAGAUUGUAGGCUGAAACUCGCCUAUAUGAAGUCGGAAUUGCUAGUAAUCGCAGAUCAGAAUGCUGCGGUGAAUGCGUUCCCGGGUCUUGUACACACCGCCCGUCACACCAUGGGAGUUGGUAACGCCCGAAGUCAGUGACCUAACCAUUUGGGAGGAGCUGCCGAAGGUGGGACCAGUGACUGGGGUGAAGUCGUAACAAGGUAGC